GAAUAGGGUAUAUGAUGAUGUUGGCAAGCGCUGGAGCAGGUAAUAUUUUGUUAAAGUUUUCAUGUCGUUCCUCCACUGCCAUGGCUUGAUCUGUGAGGAUCCAUACAUGCAUAUGGUUUAUGCAUGUAAGUUUUCUCCUUCCCUUGCUUUACACAUCUGCCAUAUCAUGCAUGACAAACACAUCAGUUUUGGCCCUAAUGUUCCAGUGUGUUUUUGUGUAACUUUGUCCCUUUCUUUGUACCAAGAUUUUCUUCAUUAGGUCUGCGUGGGCUACCAGGGAUUAAGGUUAAUGAUUCAAUUAUGCUCUUUGUAUUGUGCUUAUGGUUGAGUAUGGCGUUUAACACUAACUACGAGAUAGGUCAGAACAGAAUUGGAAGACCAGCUUCUCUACACAUAUAGAUGCCAUUUUCUCGAUGGGGAGUUCAGUGAUUUCAAGGCGCUGCCUAGAGCAAGUGGAUAAUUGAGUGAUUUUCAGGAGCUCCUACACUAUUUGUAUGAACUAACUCUUUCUGAUCAUAAGUGGGAUGAUGCGAACUAUCUGGAGCCCAAACAGAUCAACAGAUGACUACCGUAAUAAAGAUGAAGUUAGUGUUCUCACGGAGGAAUUCAAGACCCAACUUACCAUUAGGGAGGAUCUGUUCAUC